rnacentral:rRNA from 1 species
UAGGGAAUCUUCGGCAAUGGACGAAAGUCUGACCGAGCAACGCCGCGGGAGUGAAGAAGGUUUUCGGAUCGUAAAACUCUGUUGUUAGAGAAGAACAAGGACGUUAGUAACUGAACGUCCCCUGACGGUAUCUAACCAGAAAGCCACGGCUAACUACGUGCCAGCAGCCGCGGUAAUACGUAGGUGGCAAGCGUUGUCCGGAUUUAUUGGGCGUAAAGCGAGCGCAGGCGGUUUCUUAAGUCUGAUGUGAAAGCCCCCGGCUCAACCGGGGAGGGUCAUUGGAACCUGGGAGACUUGAGUGCAGAAGAGGAGCGUGGAAUUCCAUGUGUAGCGGUGAAAUGCGUAGAUAUAUGGAGGAACACCAGUGGCGAAGGCGGCUCUCUGGUCUGUACCUGACGCUGAGGCUCGAAAGCGUGGGGAGCAAACAGG